GAAUUCUAAUAUGAAAUGAUGAGAAUGAGAGGAUGAGAGGAACAAUAUACUCUUUCAUUCUUCUUCAGGAUAUAUCAUUUUUUGACUAUGAAACAGUUGAUGAUUUGACAAGUAGACUUGGGGCAGAUUGUCAACAAGUAUCAAAGGGUUAUUGGAAAUGAUCUUAACUUGAUGUUGCGCAAUGUUCUUUAGGGAACAGGUUCAUUAAUCUAUUUGGUGAUUUUGUCUUGUCUGCUUGGUUUAUGUACAUGGAUGAUAUGCAUCAUGUUAGGAGCAGUUAUGGUACAUUAUGAAGAGUAAAGUUUUUGGUUGAUUUUCUGCAAAUAUGUCCAUUAGAAACUUGCGAUUCUAUUUCUUGUGUUAAUUUCAAAUUAAAAGAGAACUAAUAGAUGCAGCAUAUCUAAAAAAGGAGUGUAUCUAUCAGAAAAUUCCAUUCAUGAAUGCCAUGACUUCCCCUUAGUUGGUUCACACAAUAGAGGCUAAUUAAUUUCUAUUUUAGAGCUGUCAAUC